AUGGGCAUUGGUUCCUGUCUCUCUCCACCCAGCCCAGGAGAGGCAUCACUUACUCACUUCUCAAAAGGGAGGUUCAUACAAAUGGAAGGCAAGUGGCUGCAGGAACCGUCUCCCAACAGCACCUUCCUUUCCACUCACUCUACCAAUGUGUUGCUGGGGGUCUGCACACUCUCUGAGGGCUCUCCAGACUCCAACCGCCUUUCAGAAUACCGCAGCGCCGCGGCAAUGCCUCCCUUGUGCAGUGCCUAAAAUACUGGCUCCUGUGUGACUUGGAGCACUUGAAAAUUCAGACAGCCUGGUGGUAGGUAGUAUUUACCCAAAUUAGAGAAAUUAAACUCUGAACUCUUCAAGUUUCAGGCAAUCAGUUCCAGUUGGUACACACUCAAUUCCAACCUUAGGCAUCAGAAAAGAAAAUGUGAUUUUGGCAGCAAGAGUUGCUAGUAGGAGUUUCAGUCCCAAUCAACAUAAAAUGUACAUAAGUGCCAAAGCUGAAUAUUGAUUAGGAGGUUUUCUUUUGCUUACUAUAUCAACUGAGAUGCUUAAGGGCUGGCUUCUUUUAUCAGAGGAGAGGAAAAAUAUGCGAACAAUUUAAGGAAAAGAUUAAAUAUUUUUUUAUGGCACAAGGAGGUUAGAAAGCCAUGAUGGAAGAGCUAUAAAUUAUUCUAACUUAAAAUCAUUGUUGCUUUAAAUCUUUUUAUUAAAGAUGAUACCAAGUUCUUUUGUUAGGGACACUUUGGAAGGAAAUAUGCUUUUCCUUCUACAUUUUGUAGCUUGACUGAGCUACACAACUCCAGUGGGCAUAGUUCAUAUUGUUCUCUACACGUAUAUUCACUGAAAAGAAUAGGAUACUGCCCUCUGGAAUGGUUCAAUGGGCCAACGCUGACCAAAUCUGAAUGUGAACAUGAGUUAAAAGGGAAUGAGAUCAACACAGAAUGUAUGUGCAUGUAGACAUGUCAUAUAUUUCAGUCAUUAUGAGAACCCCAUGAAAUAUAUACAGAUGAGGCAACUGAGGCUCAAAGAAGUUAAGCAACUUGCUCCACUAGGCAGAGUGGGCUAAAUUCUGUGACAAACUACCUCAGAAGCUCAGUAUUUCAACACAAUAAAGCAUCUAUUUCUCACA
rnacentral:lncRNA from 1 species